rnacentral:lncRNA from 1 species
GAGGACGCCCCGCAUGCUCAAGCUGCUCUGAGUCACAGAGCGGGCUGAGGCGCUGCCGGCAGAUUCGCCGCCGGCUCCUCCGCUCCUGGAACCGCUCCCCCGUACCGUGCCGCCCACCUAUCCGCACACCUCCGCCUCAGAUACCAAGCCCGAAUUUUCUCCGGGGCGCAAGCGGCUGGGGGACCGUCGGGGAGCGAUCGGCAGAUUCGCCGCGCGGGGCCCGGCGUGCCGUUGGAGGGAAAAGGCGGGGAAGCGCCGCGCCGCCCCGCAGCGGCCUCCAGGGCCCCGCAGCGCCGCCCCCGCACGGCCGGGCCUGCGCGGCUCCUCUCGGCGCUCGCGCUGAGGCCCCGCGGUCCCGCUACCCCGGAGAGCUCAUCCGUAGCCCCGCUCCCACAGCGCACCGCCCGGCUGUGCGGCUUAAGGCCGCGCGGUUAGAGCAGGGAGCGGCCUUUGUCAUGUAAGUGUGCCCGCGGGCCGGGCCUCCCGCCGAGGGCUCUACUGAGAGGGAACACGCAGACACAGCCCCGCGGGGCCUCGUGGUUAGAAAAGGAGCCGCUUUUCGCUGUGGCGAAAUAAAACGUAACCACACUGCAUCGCAGGGCUGGUGGGGUUGGAAGGGACUUUUCGAGGCCCUCGCAUCCAACCCCUGCUAACGUGGCAGCUCCUGGAGCGGCUGUGGGCCCAUGGCUGUAGGCUGAGGGGACUCCAUCCUCAGCUUCACUAAAAACCAUUUUUUUUUUUUGUGAGAUCUGAGGUUGUCUGAGAAGAAAACACGAUCUGUUCAGCUUUCACCUAAUGGUAGGAGUCAUUGAGAUCGUCUCAUUCCUUGCGUGAGCUUCAUUUGCCCCCUUUGCAAUCAUUCCUGAUCAGUUCAGAUGUGCCCUACCCUUCCUGCAAGUCAACGCUCAUGAAAAUCAAACUGAUCAGGAAAGAAAGAGGGGCAUUCAGAGCCAGCCUCCAACUGCACUGUGUGAGCUAAUGAGCCAUAAGGAGCAAGGCCUAUUAACAAACAGCCACACCAAGGAAUUCUUUUCUUCCUCCUCUUAGCUGGAUAUAUUGGAUUAAAAGCCACUAUGACUGCCUCACAGAUGCGAAAGUUUUGCAUGCUCACGUCCCGCUUGUAGGUCAAUAACACAACAAUAAUGAAGACAGCAAGAUUUUCCAGUGAAAAGGAUCUAACCUGUUUUGUUGGCAACACAGGGCAGUCCAUGCUGGAUGCUUUAUAACACCUCCUGUUCUUGGCAGCAAAACUGUUUCUGUUUCGAUCUCAUGAACCCGUUUCUUAGGACUCUUGAGACAGGAAAACAACUACUACACGAGCAAUGUCAAACUCGUUUAUUUCAGACCUUUGCUAUACUGCAUUCAGUUACAGAUUGAGAGGGAGAAAACCUCUCAGCAGUUUCUUCUCUUUGUAUAAACAUGAUAAUAUAAACAUGAUAAUACUGCAGUGUUACAGUAAGGAGAACCCUGUCUCUCAAAUACUUGUGCAUAACUGCAAGCUGUUUAAAAAAAAAAAAAAAAGCUCAAUUUUGACCUCAUUAUUUCUGAUUCUAUUUCAGUAUAAAUUUCUACGUGGAUCCACAGAUUGCUGUCAUCAACAUAUUAAAUAUAUAACUAAAUGCCUUUCUGAGACCCGUGACCACAAAUUUAAAGAGUUAAGCAACGAGAAACACGUGGAACAAGCAAAGUAGAGCUGUGGCUGAAAUCAGACCUGCGAGCAGCCAAAUUGCUAUGGAGAACAGGAGGAGGGGCAGAGCUACGGCCAUUAAGGACACAGCGCAGAGAUGGAGAGGGGAAGGCGAGCUUCACAGCAGCAAGGUGAGGAGGGGAGCACAGCCUCUUCGUGCAAGAAAUGCUGAAGAUAACCCUAAGGGAGGAACUGAAGCCAAUCAAGGCAAAUAAAAGAAAAGCAGCAGCCUGUAGGCAACCCCAAAUCCUGCAGCUCUUGGGUGAUGCCCUGGAUCUGCAGGCAACCAGGACAGGCAGCAGCACAGCAGGCACAGGGCUGCAGUGCUCCAGGCUGCAGUGUGAGCUCUGUCAGAGCUCAGGUGUUAUUUUGGGGCCAGGACACCAUGCUGGGUACUGUGGGCAUCUCCCUGUGCUUUGGGCACUGUGGCACCAAAGCUGGGUCCCAUGGGACGCUAUGAUCCCCAUCCCUACCAACAUUAGGAGCUCUCUCCCAUGCACACAUACGUUCAGAUUACAUCAGAGCCUCUUUAACAGCGCUGUCUGCUCGAGUGCAUCACUUAAACUCGAUGCAACCGAGUGAAGCUCCCAAGUCAAUAAGACCCACUUAAACAAACUGUGCUCAGCUCAUUGAGUCGGUUUAUAUCCAAAUGGGAAAAGUAAAAAGCGCUGAGUGCUGACAGCGCUCAGGAAGAUGAUUUACAAAUGCCUCAGACACACAACCAGAGCAGCUUUUCUCUCGUUAUGCCACUGCAGACUGCAUGAGAAUCCUCCCAGGGUGCACAGGUGGAGGAAGGGAGGGCUUCCCGGCCACCUCACAGCUGAGCAGCACAAAAAGCAGGAGGGAAAUAAGGCUCGCAGUGCUCAGCCCCUGCUGGCAUGCUGGGCUGUCACCAACCCCAGGCUCCAGGUGCAGCUCAAGGCAAGCAGGGUGCUCUGCUGAGAGCCACACAGAGCGCU